UGGAUCGUGAUAUUAUUUGUAAUAAUCUAAAAUCUUACUUAAAAUAGCUAGUCAAAAGGUAUUAUUUAGAUUUAUUGAUUCGGUAAAAAUAUUUAAGAUUUUGUUCAGCGAAUAAUUGAUAUAGAAUUAAACAUACACACAUACGGAUUCUUAUAGCUACCGUAAGUCUAAGUCUCAUGAGCAUGUUAUAUAUGCAUGAUCUUUAUUUUUCUAUGAACAAAAGUAAGUAUCUCUUUUAAAUUUCUCAAAUGAUUCCUCCGCAUUUUAAUAGCCCUACAUCACAUCCAGCUUCCACGUGAUCUCACAGUGACAUAUAUCACUGCACUGUGGAGCAAAACAAUGACUGUAAAUUUAGAAGUCGAAGAGCCUACUCCAAAUUAGGAUGCAUACACAAGCAUUAAGUGCUCUAAAGAAAGUCAUUUAGAUCGCAAAACCACGUUCACUAUCCUUUGGCAUUAAAUAUGAUUGCCAUUGGCUUCCAUAUCAUAUCUUGCAUUAAAAACAAGCUUAGCUUCUGGUUCACCAUUUUAUCUCAAGCAUCAAAGAUCUUUACCCAACAUACUGCACCAAAACAAAUGCUCACCAAUUGCAAUAAAUUCCUACUUAUAAUAAAGGUACAAUUUUGUAGUCCACUAAACUACCACAUCCACCAUAAGGAACCCUCCUGACCAUGCUCUAAGCUCACUCUGCAUCACAGCUGAGUAAAUUAUGGCAGAAUUCAAAUUCAGUCAUGUCCUCCUUUGAUAUGUAUCUCUGAUAAUUAUUGAAACAAACAUAGGGAAAAGCUAUAUGAAUGAACAUGGUCUUCACAAUGAACAUGAAAGGUAAACAAAUUGGAAACAGGGGACAUCAAGGUGGCCAAACUCAUAGCCAGCUUGCCAAGGUAAAAGAAGUUUUGGGUGCUCUACAGUAGGAUCCCUUGUUCUUGGUAUGCUAAAUAUUAUGUCCAUGCGAUGACUAAGCAAAAACAUACCAUUUUUAGUAAUACAAAACUGUCCAAAUUCUGCAACGUAGAACAAAAUGCACGCAGGCGCUCAGAACAGUUGUUCUUGUGGUCAUUCUGCAAAACAUCAGUUGUAAAAUGUGAUUUUAUUUUCUUGAAUGAGACUCUAAAAUAAGAAUGGAAAUGAGUGACUCAUUCUAGUCCAAAUUUUACUAAGAGUUGGAUAACAAUGACCUUGACUCGAUCUUGCCCCCACGCUAAUCUUGGCCAGGCUUUUUCCCAUCUUAGUUCUCUCAUGCCACAAAGAAAUGUGACACCAAUAUCUACCUUUAACCAUCAUCAUCUCGGCAACUACAUACCUGCGUAUAUACCUAUUUUAGCCUGUUCAAAGUAAUUGAUAGAAGCAACACAACAGCAUCUUGUAGUGAUGAUAUUCUCAUAUCUUACUAUUCUAACUUUGCCCAAGUCACCACUGGCUUCCAAAUUUUGCUAACACGGUUGGGAUUUAAACAUCAACUAUAAAAUUAUCAACCAAUGCAGACAAAAGAAAGCAAGAAUUUGAGAUUGCCAAUUCUAAACCCCUUCCCAAGCCACGACACAGUUAAUAUUUCUUUACCAAUCCACAACUGUGAUGCCACAUGCUUCUAGACUGUGCCUCCUAAAUGUUUUUUCCUCCAACCUUCACUGAGUGAGAAGUAGGCAAAGUCACGCAACGCAAUCCAACGUCCUGGGCAAAAUUUUGCUGGAAAAAUGAUAAAUGAAAUUCUCAGACUAGGCAUGAUUAACUCAAAAAAAAUAAUCUAGCAUUUAUGAGACAAUCAUACAUUAUUUUUGGUAAUAGAACCUGCUCCCU
rnacentral:lncRNA from 1 species